GGUAGAUUGCCCUUCGGCAACAGAGGAUCCCAUAGUGGCUGCCAUGACCUUUAACUCUUGAUUGUUAGAUCAAAAAGUUUCUGGGAGUACCAGGCUCUGAUACCACUUGUUGCCCAGAGGUGCAGCCCAAGAGGGGGGGUGAAUUAGGUCUCUUUAAAAAAUAAUUAAAGUUAAAACGUAUGGAGAGUAUGAGUUACUAUUAUCUUAUAGAUUCAGCAGCGGAAAUAAGAUUGCACAAAUACGAUAGUGAAUAAAGUUAGGAAAGCAGUC
rnacentral:lncRNA from 1 species